rnacentral:lncRNA from 1 species
CCAAGGUGCAGUGGGUUGCGUGCUCAUCAUAUUAAUUUAUUAAAUAAAUGUGAACACGGGAAAAACAAACAAAAAGAACGACAGAAGACAGUUUAACAGGCGAUACUUACUACAGCAGUGCUAAAGACAACUACCCACAAUUAACAACCCCAAACACAUACCUAUAUAGGACUCUCAGAGGAAAAUAGAAACACCUGCCUCCAAUUGAGAGUCCACACCCAAACCUAAACUAGAGAGAACGUAGAAAAUACAACCUAGAACAUACCCAACACCAGAACACACCCUAAACACAACCAACCACCCCGAACCAACCAAAACAAAUACCCUCUGCCACGUCCUGACCAAAUUACAAUACAAAUAAUACCUAAACUGGUCAGGACGUGACAGUACCCCCCCUAAAGGUGCAGACCCUGGAUGCACCUCAAAAUAAAAAUAAUAAACUCCUAACUAAAGGGAGGGAAGGGAGGGUGGCUGCCGUCACCUGUGCUACACCCCCCCAACCCACCUAUACUGGAGGUGGCUCAGGUUCUGGCCUACUGUCCUCCAGACUGUAGGCAGGCUUUCUUGACUCUGGACCGUAGGCAGAUUCACUCGGUUCCGGGCCGUAGGCAGACUCACACAGUUCAAAGUUAUAGUAAACUUCAUUCUGAUCCGGACAGCGGGCUGGCUCACCUGGUGCCGGACAGCAGGCCGGCUCACCUGGUGCCGGACACUCGGGACGAGGCACUGUUGCCGGACACUCGGGCCUGGUCUGACGGCUAGUGCGGGGAGCGGGAACAGGCUGAGUUGGACUGGGCUGACGCACAGGAAGCCUGAUGCGUGGUGCUGGUACUGGAUGUGCCAGCCUGGAGACACGCACCUCAGGGCUAAUGCGGGGAGCAGGAACCGGCCGUGUUGGAGUGGGCUGACGCACAGGAAGCCUGAUGCGUGGUGCUGGUACUGGAUGUGCCAGCCUGGAGACACGCACCUCAGGGCUAAUGCGGGGAGCAGGAAACACUGGACCGUAGAGGCGCACUGGCGGUCUCGAGCGCAGGACUGGCAUCACCCCUACUGGCUGGAUGCCCACUUUCCCCUGGCACAUGCGGGGCGCUGGUACUGCGCAUACCGGCCUGGAAAUACCCGGCCUCGUCACAGCACCCAUCACCCCAAAGCACAGGACCUGUCCAGUCAAUGGUUGUUUGGAAAAAAACAGGGAUUCGGCUUGGGACUUAAUCCUCGCCCAGCCAACCUACCCGUGUGCCCCCCCAAAAUAAAUUAUCGGGGUUGCCUCUCCGGCUUCCUCGCCAGCCGUGUUCCCCAGUAGCGAAUCCGGUCCUCCCCAGACUUCCUCCAUGGGCCCUCUCCGGCCAGAAUCUCCUCCCAAGUCCAUGACUCAUGAUAUUCCACCUGUUGUUCCCUCCUCCUCUGCCUGGUCCGUGUUUGGUGGGUAGUUCUGUCACGACUGUCGUUGGGUAGAGAGGACCAAGGCGCAGCGGGUUGCGUGCUCAUUAUAUUAAUUUAUUAAAUAAAUGUGAACACGGGAAAAACAAUAAACAAAAAGAACGACAGAAGACAGUUUAACAGGCUAUACUUACUACAGCAGUGCUAAAGACAACUACCCACAAUUAACAACCCCAAACACAUACCUAUAUAUAGGACUCUCAGAGGAAAAUAGAAACACCUGCCUCCAAUUGAGAGUCCACACCCAAACCUAAACAUAGAAAAACUAAACAGAACAUAGAAAAUACAACCUAGAACAUACCCAACACCCAGAACUAACAAAUCACACACCCUAAACACAACCAACCACCCCGAACCAACCAAAACAAAUACCCUCUACCACGUCCUGACCAAACUACAAUACAAAUAAUACCUAAACUGGUCAGGACGUGACAAUAUCACAUAACAUUAAGCUUAAGAACUAAUAAUGUAAUGUGUUUUUUGAAGGAAUGCUGAAAUAGUUUGGCUGUGAACUCAG